GAAGGAAAAUGUAAAAGAAAAGCAUCUGGAUUUGUUAAAGUUAUGCAGAACAAGUAGGCAUGAAAAAUGUAGACUUCAGACGAACUAGUGAAUGUCGAGAAGAAGCAAAAGAGAAAAGGACAAGAUGCGAAAUAUUAGGACAAAAACAAAGAAUGGUAAUAAUAAGUAUGCGGAAGAUUAAAGCAGAAACUUCCAACAAACUGGA